rnacentral:rRNA from 1 species
AACCGGAACCGUCGGCGUCGUCUGCUGAGCGGAUGAGACGCGGACGGACUCGACCCCGUCUUCCUCCUCCUCCUCCCUCGGCGGCAGCCUAACCCUUGUUCUUAGUGCGGUCCAUAGCUGACUGACGGCCUAGUGACAUUGUUCUACUCGCUGUUAGAGUACCUGUUUCAAUUGCGGAACCCGCUCGCGGAGUUCUAGUCACCGCGCCUUCAAUCGGCGUUCUACAGGUGGCCGCAGUGAUCGUACUCAAAGUUCUACUUCCUCAAAAAGGUUCCGGUCUUGUACCGGCUGUUCUAACAACUGCUUCGGUGGAACCUCUGGUACCUGCCGGGACUAACCCGAUGGUUAGAACUCUAUACGCUAUACCGGUUGUGGCUCUCCCAGUUGUCGCAGCUCGAGUAGGCGCGGUAUUUCUCCGCUUAGUACGACUUCUCGGGCUCCCACGUCAUAGACCGAGAACAGGAGGAGCUCUGGUAACAGUUUUUGACGCUCUUCCGGAAGAGGCUCUAACGACGCCUCGCCCAGGAACUACUUUACCACUUCGAAUAACUACUGGGUGUCUGAUAUCAGUUGUUGUCUUUGUUCCGCGAGUACGAAUAACUUCGUACCCCUCUCAGUCCUCUCCUUGAGGCGAUGGAAGGGCACAUACUUCUUUGAAUGUUCUCGAAUUCUAGAUCCCCUUAAGCGAAGGGACCGGCGCUACUACUCUCGGAACGCGGUUAUAAAUGAGGAGGGGCAAGUCAUGGACGUCGACUUGGUAUAAGACUACGUCGUGUCCUGCCCAUGGUUCUUUAAGGUCUACUUUCAAAACGAGGUCAAGCACGACGGGGAAGACAUGUUCAGCUGCUACGAAAACUCCACCGAGCAUUAUCGCAACUUGAAGAAAGGUGUCACGAUAGUAGUAGAGGUGUUUUUCUCCGAGAUCUCCUACUGAACUGAUGGUGGGACCAGGUCGUUACGGUUGUCACAGUUAUGUGUUAGGUCUCUUAGCAGCUCUGACGUCCACUAUUGCUCCGAGUUGAGAAACUCCGUGACUCGUAGGUGCUACUUGAGGUCUUUCAAGACAGGUUCAUGCUUCUGGAGUUCCUUGGGUAGCAGCGUCUCGGACUCGGUCUUGGUCGUUACUAAGGUCAGUGCCACCUCGGACUCCUUAGGGGUGCGCGACAACCGUUUCUGUGGGGGCGCUCCUUUAGUCGACCCAGGCCACCGGCGAGAUCGCCGCCCCUACUGAACGAAGUCCUAGAGCUGCUGUACUAGAAGCCAUUCUUUCGGCCGUGGAGGAGGGUCGUCCUUUCUUGAGGGGCCUUCCUCGUCUUCCUGCUGAAGUAGCCGAAUACUAGUUGCCCAAACACGAACGCGCAGAUAGAAGAGGACAUAGGGCCCCUAACGACAUGUCACCAUCUACAGACUGCACCGUCACUCAAAGUACACCGUGAGGAAAAGAAAGAUACUAACAAUAC